rnacentral:rRNA from 1 species
AACGAACGCUGGCGGCAUGCCUAACACAUGCAAGUCGAACGAGACCUUCGGGUCUAGUUGCGCACGGGUGCGUAACGCGUGGGAACCUGCCCUUAGGUUCGGAAUAACUCCCCGAAAGGGGUGCUAAUACCGGAUAAUGUCUUCGGACCAAAGAUGUAUCGCCUUUGGAUGGGCCCGCGUUGGAUUAGCUAGUUGGUAGGGUAAAAGCCUACCAAGGCGACGAUCCAUAGCUGGUCUGAGAGGAUGACCAGCCACACUGGGAAUGAGACACGGCCCAGACUCCUACGGGAGGGAGCAGUGGGGAAUAUUGGACAAGGGGCGAAAGCCUGAUCCAGCAAUGCCGGGGGAGUGAUGAAGGCCUUAGGGUUGUAAAGCUCUUUUAGCCGGGAUGAUAAUGACAGUACCGGGAGAAUAAGCUCCGGCUAACUCCGUG